UAUAAGUGUAGUUGUGGGUUUUCAUCUCCAACAUUUGACUGUCCGUCUUAUCUUAUUUGAAAAAAUUAUGAUUAGUAUUUUUAUUGUUAUUAGAUGAUAAAACAUGAAUAAUACUUAUGGUGACUUUUUUUUUUCUAAUUUUUACAUAAAUUUCUUAACAAAGACGGACGGUCAAACGUUGGAUACGAAAACCCACAAUUUCAUUUAUA
rfam:Oryza glumipatula chromosome 1, whole genome shotgun sequence.